rnacentral:rRNA from 1 species
GAUGAACGCUGGCGGCGUGCCUAAUACAUGCAAGUCGAGCGAACAGACGAGGAGCUUGCUCCUCUGACGUUAGCGGCGGACGGGUGAGUAACACGUGGAUAACCUACCUAUAAGACUGGGAUAACUUCGGGAAACCGGAGCUAAUACCGGAUAAUAUAUUGAACCGCAUGGUUCAAUAGUGAAAGACGGUUUUGCUGUCACUUAUAGAUGGAUCCGCGCCGCAUUAGCUAGUUGGUAAGGUAACGGCUUACCAAGGCAACGAUGCGUAGCCGACCUGAGAGGGUGGUCGGCCACACUGGAACUGAGACACGGUCCAGACUCCUACGGGAGGCAGCAGUAGGGAAUCUUCCGCAAUGGGCGAAAGCCUGACGGAGCAACGCCGCGUGAGUGAUGAAGGUCUUCGGAUCGUAAAACUCUGUUAUUAGGGAAGAACAAAUGUGUAAGUAACUAUGCACGUCUUGACGGCACCUAAUCAGAAAGCCACGGCUAACUACGUG